UACAGAGGGGGCGAGCGUUGUCCGGAAUUACUGGGCGUAAAGGGCGCGUAGGCGGCCUCUUAAGUCGAACGUGAAAUCCCCGGGCUCAACCCGGGAACUGCGUCCGAUACUGGGAGGCUUGAAUCCGGGAGAGGGAUGUGGAAUUCCAGGUGUAGCGGUGAAAUGCGUAGAUAUCUGGAGGAACACCGGUGGCGAAGGCGGCAUCCUGGACCGGUAUUGACGCUGAGGCGCGAAAGCCAGGGGAGCAAACGGG
rnacentral:rRNA from 1 species